UUUUUGCUCAAAAGACCUAGCCGCCGUCCCCAACGAGUUCUUCCCCAAAUCGAACCCUCGAGAUCCCUCCUCCUCCACCGCCGCCGCCGCCGCUGACACUCCCUCUGCCCUCGACCGCGCCCUCCACCACCGACCCCUCUGCCCUCGAACGCGCCCUCCACCAUCGACUCCCUCCGCUGACCUGUGCGACCCCCACCCAUAUCGAUGACGCCGCUGCGUAGAGGUCAACCUCGCCUCCCUCCACACGCCUCUGGUUUCGCUCCCUUCGGCACCGCCACAAGGGCUGGUCAACGGGUCCGGUGCGUCGAGGUCGACGUCGCCUUGCUCCCCACCACGUCUCCCACCACCCUGACGACGAGCGCGGUGUCUGCUCCCCAAUACGCUAGUACAACAUGGUGCUCAGAUCUGUCAUGGAGGAAACGCGAUGCAGGUGCUACCAGUGAAAGGAUUGGGGAUUGGUUCUAGCAGUUGUAGGUUUGUUUGGAAUUCAUAAUGCUCAUGAUUUGCAAAGGCUAUCAGCCAGGUUAUUGUACACGUACUCUUGUAUUUCAUUUUCUUAUCUUAAUAAGUUAAUAUGCAUGUAUAUGUGCCUAUGAUUUGUAAAAUGUAAUGUUCUUCUAUCCAUCCAAUUUUAGCGAUGUGGACGGGUCUUUGUUUAUUCAGGUUCAGACAUUGCACAACUGAAGGCAAGUGUUUCACAGCUUGAGAAAGUUUACUCACUAAUGGCUGACUGUAUACAACUCUAGAAAGUUUCUUGUGCUAGCAUCUACAAGAACUAAAUUAUAGACAUGAGUGCUGAUUUGAUAUUGAAAAUUGCUCUACAAAAUUAACUACUUUUACUUCCCUGAUUUAUCAUCUAUCGAAUUGUUUCAUAGCAGUUCAGUGGUGCCCUAUCUGAAUUCUCAACCUGCAUGAAACAUUGCACUGGGCAGAAAAUAAUUGUAGAAAGGAAUGUCGUAAGUGGCUGGCACUGCCAUCAGGCUAUCACACACUGCACUUAAUUGGGCUUGUUGGACCAUGCAGGGCAUCUGCACCAGAUAAUAGAAGCCCUGCAAGGGUGGUUUGCUUGUGAGGAGGGGUUGAUUUUUUGAGUUGCAGCCUGAAUGAUAUGUAUCUUAUGAUACAGAGGAAAGAAAAACAAUAUGUUUCUUACCUUGUUGGUUGGUUGUCUACACGCACAUUUCCUAUGAACCAUGCCUUAAUAAUCGAACCGCCACUGUAAUCUCACAUCGUGAUCAGUCCUCACUUGAUGAAGUAGCAUACCAACAAGUUAGUUAAUUUUCUGAAGUUCCUGGAAUAAUUUUUUGACGCUGCCUGCUUCGGUACACUUUAUUCUUAACCAUUGGUUGAUCUAAGCUCUUUUUUUACAAGAACACGUCGAUGCAUAGCAUUAAACGCUUGCCGAAAAGAGUCCACAGCUCCUUGCACUCAAGCAUUAUAUUGUCUGACCUCCUAAGGGUCGUUGAGGAGUUGGCAUAUAAUAGCAGCGACACAAAUGAUUAAAAGAUCGAUGUUUCAGUAAAUGUCAGAGGAUGUUACAUUAAAGUGGAAGAUGAUGCUAUUGCAGGUUGGGGUAUUGCUUGAGAUGAAUUGUUUCUACUGGGAGAAAAAUAUGGCAAGUCAUAUCUUUGGGUGCUUUUCUGAAUUCAUGGAUAUCAGAAUGAGAUUGUUCUCAUAUAGAAAGGACUGCCUGAUUUGCUUCAUAAAAGUAAUAAUGGAACUGACAUCCAUUCUAUGAUAGUUGACCUCGAUAAUUGAUAUUUAAAGGAGAUAUUAUGCUUAUUCUACCUGGAAUUCUGAUUUCUUCUGCUAGUGUUUCUUUAUCUUGGGCAUCGAGGGUCUGGAGUGUGUUCAUGCUGCACAUCGGCGCAUCGUGUGAUUAUCAUGCGUUCUUCAGUGGGGUCGGACCUCAACAGGAGUAUGCAACUAUGAGCCGUGAUGAGUGCCCGCCUACUACGCCCACGGCAUGCCGUAUUGAGCGAGCCGUUACUUCCUUCUUUUCUUUUCCUUUUUGAUCGAAGUUCACCGCCUACAACGCCCACGAUAUGGCAUGUUGACCAUGCCCUUGCCGCUGUUUUUUCCCUUUGUGAAUGAACAUAGUUGCCACUGCUUUUUUCUAUGGGACGCUGCUCUUUUAUUUCCUGGAUAACCACGGACGCCGCUGUUUUGUUGUCACGCAAGCAGAGUUAAAAAUGAUCUCUUUUUAUCUACCGAACUAAUCAAGAGUUCAAGUCCAGGACAUCAUACAUCAAAAUUGGUGUGGGUCCGCCUUUCUAAUGGUCGUAAUUUACUCAUUAAUGGAGGGUCCACCAAACUAACGGUCCGAUGUGUCUAAUUAAUGUGAGAAUUUCUAGUAAAUCCUCUAUUCUUGAUCCCUAUUUUCCUUUUAGUAUAUAAUAGAUAGAUACCAUUGCAUAUUAGCGUGGGUGAGGUGUGGGCGGCUGUUUAUCUUGGUAGUUAAGUCUUGGAUUUAGUAUUUUGCUUUCGGAUACAUGCUUGUUGCUAUUUCAGAACAUUGAAACUUUAUUUAGAAAUUUGUUUCCUAUGUGCUUCAUGCAAAUGAAACUGCAGUAAAGAUACAAACUAUGCUUGUCCUGAAUGUGCAUAACCUUUUUAUGCAUACAAUUAGUGGAACCUUUUACAUGUCCAGUGUGCGCAUGUGUCCAGGAACUAAGCUUUUGCAUGUCCUGUGUAUUCUAAAGCUUAGUCUUUUGUUAUUGGGCAAGUACUUGAAACAGUGUCUUGGUUUGCCAGUCGUAGAAUCAUUUAUGAAUAGCAUAGGUGUUGCCUUCACUUGUAUUCCUACGCAUAGUCCAAUACUUCUUUUUCCUUGAUCUAAUGCUCCUUUUUCGUUAAGACAAGCAAAAUGGAAUCACAUCCUGGAUUAUCUCUAUGGUCCUGCAUCAUCUUUCAUAGACUAAUUAAGUUAUAACCGGAUUGCAUUGUUUAGGAGAAAUGUACCUUUCCAUGUGUAAAGUGGUUAGACCUGGCAUUACUGUUCAAUAUUUUGUACUCAACAGGAAUCUUGCUAUAGAUACACACUGGAAGUCUAAAAUCAAUACUAGUAGAAACAGGUGUUCUGUCAACGACGCAUCUAUUUUGUUGCAUGUCUCGGGCCACUCAAUUUGUGAUUAAAUAGGUGUUCUGCAUAUAUGUUUUCCAACUGAUUGACCAUGUAAGACUGGAAACAGCACCAUCUUUGUGACAUCUAACUUGUUCUAUUUUUUUUGCAGAAAGUGCUAGUACAUUGGAUAAGAACAUUGACACAUGUGACUGGGAGCCCAAAAGACUAGUAAUAAUGUUGUAAACCACUUCAACAUAACACCAAACAUUUUGGUUUCUAUACAACUGUCAUGUUUGUGCUAGAAAAAUGUUUGAGUUUUGCUGUUUUCCAUAGGAUGAAACUAUUUCAUAUCUUGAACUAGAUUCUUUGUGUGUUUAUACCAAAAUACAAGAUCCUAUGAUGUCAAAAAUUCAUACAAGUUGUGGAUGUCACUUCCUUUAAUCACUUCCUAUUUUAUCUUAUGUGCAGUUUUUUGGACGGUGUUCUAUGGAAUCUUCACAUACAGGAAACUAAAAUUUAUAUCAUAGGUUGGAAAUGUUCCUGAAGACGGGUUAAGAUACCUUGCCGUAACCAUAUGCUCUGAGCUCACCUAGAAGACCUUACAAGCUUUACUCUUUGUGCAUUUUCCAUUCUGUACAACUUGGACGUCUUGAAACUGCACAUACUAAAUUAUGAUGUAAUUCUUCACAUGUAAUCAGUGAAUUGCAUAUAUUGUAACCUUGUAAAUGUUUGAUGAACAGAAUUUAUAAUAUGAAUGUGAAGUACUUGUGCAGAUUC